rnacentral:rRNA from 1 species
CCUACGGGAGGCAGCAGUGAGGAAUAUUGGUCAAUGGGCGAAAGCCUGAACCAGCCAAGUCGCGUGAGGGAUGACUGCCCUAUGGGUUGUAAACUUCUUUUAUAUGGGAAUAAAACAGGGUAUGCAUACCCUCUUGUAUGUACCAUAUGAAUAAGGAUCGGCUAACUCCGUGCCAGCAGCCGCGGUAAUACGGAGGAUCCGAGCGUUAUCCGGAUUUAUUGGGUUUAAAGGGUGCGUAGGCGGGCUUUUAAGUCAGCGGUAAAAAUUCGGGGCUCAACCCCGUCCUGCCGUUGAAACUGGGGGCCUUGAGUGGGCGAGAGGUAUGCGGAAUGCGUGGUGUAGCGGUGAAAUGCAUAGAUAUCACGCAGAACCCCGAUUGCGAAGGCAGCCUACCGGCGCCCUACUGACGCUGAGGCACGAAAGUGCGGGGAUCGAACAGGAUUAGAUACCCUAGUAGUC